AACGAACGCUGGCGGCAGGCCUAACACAUGCAAGUCGAACGCCGUAGCAAUACGGAGUGGCAGACGGGUGCGUAACACGUGGGAACAUACCCUUUGGUUCGGAAUAACUCAGGGAAACUUGAGCUAAUACCGGAUAAGCCCUUACGGGGAAAGAUUUAUCGCCAAAGGAUUGGCCCGCGUCUGAUUAGCUAGUUGGUGAGGUAACGGCUCACCAAGGCGACGAUCAGUAGCUGGUCUGAGAGGAUGAUCAGCCACACUGGGACUGAGACACGGCCCAGACUCCUACGGGAGGCAGCAGUGGGGAAUAUUGGGACAAUGGGCGCAAGCCUGAUCCAGCCAUGCCGCGUGAGUGAUGAAGGCCUUAGGGUUGUAAGCUCUUUUACCCGGGAAGAUAAUGACGGUACCGGGAGAAUAAGCCCCGGCUAACUUCGUGCCAGCCGCCGCAGUAG
rnacentral:rRNA from 1 species